AUACGGAGGAUCCGAGCGUUAUCCGGAUUUAUUGGGUUUAAAGGGAGCGUAGGCGGACGCUUAAGUCAGUUGUGAAAGUUUGCGGCUCAACCGUAAAAUUGCAGUUGAUACUGGGUGUCUUGAGUACAGUAGAGGCAGGCGGAAUUCGUGGUGUAGCGGUGAAAUGCUUAGAUAUCACGAAGAACUCCGAUUGCGAAGGCAGCUUGCUGGACUGUAACUGACGCUGAUGCUCGAAAGUGUGGGUAUCAAACAGGAUUAGAUACCCUGGUAGUCCGCACAGUAAACGAUGAAUACUCGCUGUUUGCGAUAUACUGCAAGCGGCCAAGCGAAAGCGUUAAGUAUUCCACCUGGGGAGUACGCCGGCAACGGUGAAACUCAAAUGAAUUGACGGGG
rnacentral:rRNA from 1 species